AGGAUGAACGCUGGCGGCGUGCCUAAUGCAUGCAAGUCGAACGCAGGGCCUUCGGGCUGCUGCGUGGCGCACGGCUGAGGAACACGUGGGUCAUCUGCCCUUUGGUGGGGGAUAGCUCGGAGAAAUCCGAAUUAAACCCGCAUACGCUCCGCAAGGAGGAAAGCCGCAAGGUGCCGAAGGAGGAGCCUGCGGCCCAUCAGGUAGUUGGUAGGGUAAUGGCCUACCAAGCCGGUGACGGGUACCUGGUCUGAGAGGACGACCAGGCAGACUGGGACUGAGACACGGCCCAGACUCCUACGGGAGGCAGCAGCAAGGAAUUUUCCCCAAUGGGCGCAAGCCUGAGGGAGCAACGCCGCGUGGAGGAUGACGGCUUUCGGGUUGUAAACUCCUUUUGGGUGGGACGAUAAUGACGGUACCAUCCGAAUAAGCCCGGCUAACUCCGUGCCAGCAGCCGC
rnacentral:rRNA from 1 species